UAUAGUAGGCACAGGAGUGGCUGUGUGGUAAGAAGCUUACUUCCCAACUCCAUGGAUCUGAGUUCAGUCCCACUGCAUGGCACCUUAGGAAAGUGUCUUCUACUAUAGCUUUGGGCCAACCAAAGCCUUGUGAGUAGAUUCAUGAAAUGGAAACUGGAAG